CUGCCCGCCCCCACCAGGGAUGGUCUAGCCGACACCGCAAUCAAGCGCUCACCCCACCUAAAACCAGGGCCAGCUGGGUCCUUGGGAUGCCUCCAAAGACAUCAUGAGGUCCCUCUCAGUGCCCCCAGCCCUCCACCCAGCCCAGCCAAACACGCACCCACCAAACCCCAGGGAGGCAACUCAGCCCUCCCUCCUCCAGGGGGCGCUCUCCAGCCCACGCAGACAAUGGACUGGAGGCACUUUCAGGACACCAAGGUGCCCUUGGAGACAGAAACCCAGCAGGAGCCCCACGCCCAGUGGAGAGGCCUCCGCCCUGCUUCUGAAGCGGCAGGCGCUGGCCUCAAUAAUCCCCCAGCCGUGGGCCGAGUUGGCAUCCUCCGACCCCUGCGGCCACUGCCAGAGAGAAGAAACUCUACCAGAAGCACAAAGGGACAAUAACUUCAGGUAGAAGCUCAAUCCAGUUGGUGUACUCUCUUGAGACAAAGAAAAGAGGUGAGAGAUGUCUUCUGAGAAGAGUGAAAGGUUUGACCUAGAGUAGAAACUGCAACCUCUCGAUUUGGCUAAGUCUCUCACCAAAACAGGCAGAAAGAGCGAGGCGGUCAUCAGCCUUUGCCCCAACACUCCUGUGGACAAGUCCAGGAAGGAGCACGUGUCCCCAGAUGUCCCCCGCUGCCCACUGAGCAUCAGCCCUACUGCCGGACUGUCCACUGGGGAAAAAGGGGCCGGCUGCUCCUUGCCAACGCCACGGCUGUGGGGCUGGGAGUUCCUGCAAAUCACACUCUAUAUGCAAAAGACACUGGAUUAAAAUAAGCACUAAGGGCAGACUUACACGAUGGAAGUUAAAAACAGUACCUGCAACCCAAGGAAAGGGGCUAGCAUAACUGGGGGAAGCAAAGCCCACCCAUUUGCUUCAGUGAUUAGGAAAAAGGAGUUUGGGUGGAUUAUAGGUGGCAUAUGAAUAUCCGGCCUUUUCCAUGACUUCGGGCUAAAGCACCUGGUGGCCUGCCCAGCACCUAGUAAACUGUACAUGGACUUUUCUCGCUCUAUCUCCUCAUUGUCUAGUGUUAUAACAUCCAGCAUUGUUAUUAUUUUAACCUAUAUGUAAGAGACCCCAAAUUUUGUCCAUACACAUUAUCUCAUUUAAAUAUUUUUGCAUUUUACUAACAAGAAAAUUAGGGCUCAGAAAGACUAAAAGACUUAGGUAAGAUCAGACGUGCAACGCCGGGACUUGAACCCAGGUAUCAUCCAGACUCUGCAUCCAGAUCUCUUCUACUGCAUCGGAGCUGCUGGGCUGGGCCGGGAGCAAGGAGGCGAGGGCCCACUUGUGAGCAGGCCUCAGUCAAACCCCCCAGGCAGGAGGGCAGCAGGGCUAGCGCUAUUGGAGGCCCUGGAGCACGCAGCAUGGCGGGGGAGUUUCCCCGCAAAAUGGAGCAGGCAGCCAGCAUGUUCAUUACCCAACCUCAUUCCAUCGCAUAAUAAAUGGAGCCCCAGAGGGCCA
rnacentral:lncRNA from 13 species